ensembl:miRNA
CUGCAGAGGAACAAGGCUGAACCCCCAACACGAGGAUGACAGCCCUGUGCUCUCCACAG